rnacentral:rRNA from 1 species
ACUCAAAUGAAUUGACGGGGGCCCGCACAAGCGGUGGAGCAUGUGGUUUAAUUCGACGCUACGCGAAGAACCUUACCAGGGCUUGACAUCCUCUGACAGCGGAUGAAAGUCCGUCUUCUUAGCAAUAAGACAGAGUGACAGGUGCUGCAUGGCUGUCGUCAGCUCGUGUCGUGAGAUGUAGUGGUUAAGUCCCGCAACGAGCGCAACCCUCAUCCAAUGUUGCUAGCAUGCCGGAGGUUUCGACCCGAGGUGAUGAGAACUCUUUGGAAACUGCCCGUGUGAGCGGGAGGAAGGCGGGGAUGACGUCAAGUCAGCAUGGCCCUUACGUCCUGGGCUACACACAUGCUACAAUGGGCGCGACAAAGGGAAGCAAAGCCGCGAGGUGGAGCAAACCCCAAAAAGGCGUCCUCAGUACAGAUUGAGGUCUGCAACUCGACCUCAUGAAGGUGGAAUCGCUAGUAACCGUCGAUCAGCAAUGCGACGGUGAAUACGUUCCCGGGCCUUGUACACACCGCCCGU